UAUGCUAGUGACACUUAGUACCAAGCUGAGAUCCUCAGUAUAUCGAUUUCACUCUCACUUAAUUAUCUAUCAUUUCGCAACAAUGAACUUCAAAUGGAUGUUCCUGGUUUUAUUAUUUUCACUGCUGUCAAUUAUUACGAAUAACCAAGUUAUGGCCAUAGCAGGCGUUGACGUGCCACCAGCAGUAUCAACCAUGAUCCCGCCCCUCUCAAAGUAGCCAACUAACACCGGAAACCUAAGAGGAAAUCCUGAAUUGGUUAUGAAACACAAUACUAGAAGAAAAAUAAUGAAAAAAUUGUCAAUUGUAAUCCGCAUUGGUAUAAACAAUAAAUAUAUUCGAUGACCAUAA